CCUACGGGAGGCAGCAGUGGGGAAUUUUGGGCAAUGGGCGCAAGCCUGACCGAGCAAUGCCGCGUGAAGGAAGAAGGCUUUCGGGUUGUAAACUUCUGUUGAGAGGGAAGAACAGAAGACGGUGCCUCUUCAAUAUGCCACGGCUAACUACGUGCCAGCCGCCGGGGUAAUACGUUGGGGGCAAGCGUUGUACGGAUUUACUGGGGGUAAAGGGCGGGCAGCCGGGAAGACAAGGCAGGGGUGAAAACCCACGGCCUAACCGCGUAAAUGCAUUUGAAACUGGUUUUCUAGAGUGCAGGAGAGGGCGGCGGAACUCCUUGUGUAGCGGUAAAAUGCGUAGAUAUAAGGAAGAACACCAGUGGCGAAGGCGGAUGACUGGACGGUUACUGACGGUGAGGCGCGAAAGCGUGGGGAGCAAACAGGAUUAGAUACCCUUGUAGUC
rnacentral:rRNA from 1 species